ACUGCCCCACUUCAGUAAAAAAGGAGUUAAAAGCAGCCCUGGAGAGGGCUGUGGCUGGGGAUGGCUGAUUGGAGAAGCAGUCACAGCUGGACCAUGCCCCAAUCAGGCCCCAGCUGGCCGCUAUAAAAACGCUGUGAGCCAGA